AGUGAACGCUGGCGGUAGGCCUAACACAUGCAAGUCGAACGGCAGCACAGUAAGAGCUUGCUCUUACGGGUGGCGAGUGGCGGACGGGUGAGGAAUACAUCGGAAUCUACCUUUUCGUGGGGGAUAACGUAGGGAAACUUACGCUAGUACCGCAUACGACCUACGGGUGAAAGCAGGGGAUCUUCGGACCUUGCGCGAUUGAAUGAGCCGAUGUCGGAUUAGCUAGUUGGCGGGGUAAAGGCCCACCAAGGCGACGAUCCGUAGCUGGUCUGAGAGGAUGAUCAGCCACACUGGAACUGAGACACGGUCCAGACUCCUACGGGAGGCAGCAGUGGGGAAUAUUGGACAAUGGGCGCAAGCCUGAUCCAGCCAUACCGCGUGGGUGAAGAAGGCCUUCGGGUUGUAAAGCCCUUUUGUUGGGAAAGAAAAGCAGCAGGUUAAUACCCCGCUGUUCUGACGGUACCCAAAGAAUAAGCACCGGCUAACUUCGUG
rnacentral:rRNA from 1 species